GUUGCCAUAACUUAAAGGAUAAAGUUUUUGUUUACGAAACAAAACUAUGUAGGUUCGAAUCCUACUGGCUACU
rnacentral:tRNA from 1 species